rnacentral:rRNA from 1 species
GAUGAACGCUGGCGGCAUGCCUAACACAUGCAAGUCGGACGGGAAGUGGUGUUUCCCGUGGCGGACGGGUGAGCAACGCGCAAGAACCUGCCCUUUGGAGGGGAACAACAUCUGGAAACGGCUGCUAAUACACCGUAGGCUGAGGAGCAAAAGGAGGAAUCAGCCUGAGGAGGCGCUCGCGUCUGAUUAGCUAGUUGGUGAGGGAAUAGCUUACCAAGGCGAUGAACAGUAGCUGUCCCGAGAGGAUGAUCGGACACACUGGAACUGAGACAUGGGCCAGACUGCGACUGGAGGCAGGCGUAGGGAACUACGGGAAAUGGGAGAAAGGAAGAUUCCGCAAUGCGGGGUGGGUGAAGAAGGCCUUGGCGCGGGAAAGUAGUGUGCCUAGGGAAGAAGAACUGCUUUUGCCGGAGAAGAAGUAAUGACGGUAUCUGAAGAAUAAGCAACGGCUAACUCUGUG